UAAACAAUUAGGUUCCCAAGCACUCAUACUGGACAAGGCUUUCGUGGGAGUUGUGGGCAUUUUUUGGGGUAGUUUUGCUUUCUUGGACAGAAUAUACAAGUAGAGUCUAAUAAGCCCGUAUCCUUAAACAAUUAGGUUCCCAAGCACUCAUACUGGACAAGGCUUUCGUGGGAGCUGUGAGCAUUUUCAGUGGUACUUUUAUGACCCUGGUGGUAUUCUGACCCUUCUCCUGUACCUUGAACCCAAAGAAGCACUCAUGGGAACCCGACUCAUCACCGUUUUGGCCUCCGGAAAUAGUUGACGUGGGAGGCGGAAGCGACUGAAAAUAUCGACCAAAGGCUCUUCGUCUCAUCAACUCCUCCUCCUUGCUGACAGCCUCCUACCUCUUAAAUUCCGCCGCCAUGUUCCAUCUCUGUCUCAGGGGGCUUCGUGGUGCAGUGGUUAGCACACUCUGCUCACAACCGAGAGAGCCCGGGUUCGAUUCCCGGGCGGAGUGGAAAAAUUUGGGCGGCUUUUCCGAUACCCUACGCCCCUGUCCACCCAGCAGUGAAUGGGUACCAGGUAUUAAUCAGGGGUUGUGUCCCGUCUCCUGGGGUCUGUUCCCUUCUCCUAUAAUUCCUUCCCCUUCUGUCUCUCUCCGGCAUAUGACCACAGAUGUUGCGCCAACUAAACGAAACUUUCCCUUCUAUAAUUCCUUCCCCUUCUGUCUCUCUCCGGCAUAUGACCACAGAUGUUGCGCCGACUAAACGAAACUUCUAGACUUGCUAACUACAUGUGUCCCCCCCUCCCCCCCCCCAUACGCGUCCCCGCAGUACACGACUUUCUACUCUUGCUCAUCCCUGUGUUAUUCAAAUCCCUUAUGCAAGAGUUAACCAGCAUCUUUAUUUUUUCAUCCCUGCCACGGGCAAACUCUGGAACAGCCUACCUUCGUCUGUGUCUUCUCCUGCCUACGACUUGAAUUCUUCCAGGAGGAGAGUAUCAAGACGCCUCUCCACCCGAAAUUGACCCCUUCUGGCCUCUCUGUUUUCUCUCCUCGGAGUUGCUUCUAGCGGACUUUUUUUGUUGCUGUUUUCGUUUUUUGCCCUUGAGCUGCCUCCCUUCAAGUUUUUUUUUGUUAUUUUCAUGUGGCCUAUUGCGCCGGUAGGCUAAUCAAUAUGGGUCUGAGGGUCGACCCGAGCCCGUCAUGGCGCAGGCAAUUGUUUAUAGUGGCGCCAUUCUUGAUUUCACUUGCACUGUGCAGUUUCUUCUAGAGUCCGGGUUGAUGGGUGGUCUUCAGGACAGCAUGUGGGUAGUCUUAGGCCACUCGGCGGUGACUGAAAAAUCCCAGGUGGUUAGCGGCGGAUUCGAACCCACCUCAACAUAUCCAUGACAUAUUUCUAGCUAUUUACCUUUUCCUCAUAUUCAAGAAAAAAAAUAUGCAUCAAAAUUUGUUUCUCGCACUGACAGAAAAAAAAAAGUUUAUAUGCACGAAAAAGUCCUGAUGCUCAACUCACGUCCGCCGGAACUAUAAAAAAGAAAAAAAGAAAAAAAAUAACAUGGUCAUCGGGAGAGUGUGAACAUUCGUCUCAAUAAACUUAGAGCAAAAACAAUCGAUUAAAAAAAAAGUGAGAUAUGACCCCCUUAAGGAAGCACAAGGCCUUCAAACCCUUCUACUGGGAGACGCUGAUCUUUCUAUUAUUUAUUCUUUUUUUCAUUAUUUUCUUAUUUUUUCUUCUUUUCUUUCAUUUCCUUCAUUUUAUCCUUUUUUUGUUUCCUUCCUUCAUGCCUUUCAACACCUCUGUCUGGUGUUAGUGUGGUCCAUCCCGCCCCGGCAAAGGUUCUAAUUCCACCUCUCCACCUGGUCCUCUGUCUGGUGUUAGUGUGGUCCAUCCCGCCCCGGCAAAGGUUCUAAUUCCACCUCUCCACCUGGUCCUCUGUCUGGUGUUAGUGUGCUCCAUCCCGCCCCGGCAAAGGUUCUAAUUCCACCUCUCCACCUGGUCCUCUGUCUGGUGUUAGUGUGCUCCACCCCGCCCCGGCAAAGGUUCUAAUUCCACCUCUCCACCUGGUCCUCUGUCUGGUGUUAGUGUGCUCCAUCCCGCCCCGGCAAAGGUUCUAAUUCCACCUCUCCACCUGGUCCUCUGUCUGGUGUUAGUGUGCUCCAUCCCGCCCCGGCAAAGGUUCUAAUUCCACCUCUCCACCUGGUCCUCUGUCUGGUGUUAGUGUGCUCCAUCCCGCCCCGGCAAAG